rnacentral:rRNA from 1 species
ACGUAGGGUGCAAGCGUUGUCCGGAAUUAUUGGGCGUAAAGAGCUCGUAGGCGGUCUGUCACGUCGGCUGUGAAAACUCGGGGCUCAACCCCGAGCCUGCAGUCGAUACGGGCAGACUAGAGUCCGGCAGGGGAGACUGGAAUUCCUGGUGUAGCGGUGAAAUGCGCAGAUAUCAGGAGGAACACCGGUGGCGAAGGCGGGUCUCUGGGCCGGAACUGACGCUGAGGAGCGAAAGCGUGGGGAGCGAACAGGAUUAGAUACCCUGGUAGUCCACGCCGUAAACGUUGGGCGCUAGGUGUGGGGGACCUUCCACGUCCUCCGUGCCGCAGCUAACGCAUUAAGCGCCCCGCCUGGGGAGUACGGCCGCAAGGCUA